rnacentral:rRNA from 1 species
UACAGAGGGGGCAAGCGUUGUUCGGAAUUACUGGGCGUAAAGGGCGCGUAGGCGGCCUGUUAAGUCGAACGUGAAAUCCCCAGGCUCAACCUGGGAACUGCGUCCGAUACUGGCAGGCUUGAAUCCGGGAGAGGGAUGCGGAAUUCCAGGUGUAGCGGUGAAAUGCGUAGAGAUGUGGAGGAGCACCGAUGGCGAAGGCAGCCUCCUGGGCCAACACUGACGCUCAUGCACGAAAGCGUGGGGAGCAAACAGG